rnacentral:tRNA from 2 species
GCAGUGGUGGUUCAGUGGUAGAACUCUUGCCUUCCAUGCAGGAGACCCAGGUUCGAUUCCUGACCAAUGCA